UACGUAGGAGGCAAGCGUUAUCCGGAAUUAUUGGGCGUAAAGCGUCCGCAGGUGGCGAUUCAAGUCUGCGGUCAAAGACUGGGGCUUAACCCUGGAAAGGCCGUGGAAACUGAAUAGCUAGAGUGCAGUAGGGGUAGAGGGAAUUCCCGGUGUAGCGGUGAAAUGCGUAGAGCUCGGGAAGAACAUCGGUGGCGAAAGCGCUCUGCUGGACUGCAACUGACACUCAGGGACGAAAGCUAGGGGAGCGAAUGGG
rnacentral:rRNA from 1 species